rnacentral:misc_RNA from 1 species
UUUCCGUAGGUGAACCUGCGGAAGGAUCAUUCAUAAUAAGUGUUUUAUGGCACUUUUUUAAAUCCAUAUCCACCUUGUGUGCAAUGUCAGGGUUGGUCUCUUUUGAUCGGCCCCAAACAUCAACUAUUAUCUCAACUCUUUGUCUGAAAAAUAUUAUGAAUAAAACAAUUCAAAAUACAACUUUCAACAACGGAUCUCUUGGCUCUC